CACACUAUCAUUAACUGAAUCCAUAGGUUAAUGAGGCGAACCGGGGGAACUGAAACAUCUAAGUACCCCGAGGAAAAGAAAUCAACCGAGAUUCCCCCAGUAGCGGCGAGCGAACGGGGAGGAGCCCAGAGCCUGAAUCAGUGUGUGUGUUAGUGGAAGCGUCUGGAAAGGCGCGCGAUACAGGGUGACAGCCCCGUACACAAAAAUGCACAUGCUGUGAGCUCGAUGAGUAGGGCGGGACACGUGGUAUCCUGUCUGAAUAUGGGGGGACCAUCCUCCAAGGCUAAAUACUCCUGACUGACCGAUAGUGAACCAGUACCGUGAGGGAAAGGCGAAAAGAACCCCGGCGAGGGGAGUGAAAAAGAACCUGAAACCGUGUACGUACAAGCAGUGGGAGCACGCUUAGGCGUGUGACUGCGUACCUUUUGUAUAAUGGGUCAGCGACUUAUAUUCUGUAGCAAGGUUAACCGAAUAGGGGAGCCGAAGGGAAACCGAGUCUUAACUGGGCGUUAAGUUGCAGGGUAUAGACCCGAAACCCGGUGAUCUAGCCAUGGGCAGGUUGAAGGUUGGGUAACACUAACUGGAGGACCGAACCGACUAAUGUUGAAAAAUUAGCGGAUGACUUGUGGCUGGGGGUGAAAGGCCAAUCAAACCGGGAGAUAGCUGGUUCUCCCCGAAAGCUAUUUAGGUAGCGCCUCGUGAAUUCAUCUCCGGGGGUAGAGCACUGUUUCGGCAAGGGGGUCAUCCCGACUUACCAACCCGAUGCAAACUGCGAAUACCGGAGAAUGUUAUCACGGGAGACACACGGCGGGUGCUAACGUCCGUCGUGAAGAGGGAAACAACCCAGACCGCCAGCUAAGGUCCCAAAGUCAUGGUUAAGUGGGAAACGAUGUGGGAAGGCCCAGACAGCCAGGAUGUUGGCUUAGAAGCAGCCAUCAUUUAAAGAAAGCGUAAUAGCUCACUGGUCGAGUCGGCCUGCGCGGAAGAUGUAACGGGGCUAAACCAUGCAC
rnacentral:rRNA from 1 species